CCUACGGGUGGCUGCAGUGGGGAAUAUUGCACAAUGGGCGCAAGCCUGAUGCAGCCAUGCCGCGUGUGUGAAGAAGGCCUUCGGGUUGUAAAGCACUUUCAGCGGGGAGGAAGGCGUUAAGGUUAAUAACCUUGUCGAUUGACGUUACCCGCAGAAGAAGCACCGGCUAACUCCGUGCCAGCAGCCGCGGUAAUACGGAGGGUGCAAGCGUUAAUCGGAAUUACUGGGCGUAAAGCGCACGCAGGCGGUCUGUCAAGUCGGAUGUGAAAUCCCCGUGCUCAACCUGGGAACUGCAUUCGAAACUGGCAGGCUAGAGUCUUGUAGAGGGGGGUAGAAUUCCAGGUGUAGCGGUGAAAUGCGUAGAGAUCUGGAGGAAUACCGAUGGCGAAGGCGGCCCCCUGGACAAAGACUGACGCUCAGGUGCGAAAGCGUGGGGAGCAAACAGGAUUAGAUACCCGGGUAGUC
rnacentral:rRNA from 1 species